rnacentral:misc_RNA from 1 species
UCGCGGCUUAUCACCGGCAGUCUCCCAAGAGUCCCCGGCAUUACCCGUUGGCAACAUGGGACAGGGGUUGCGCUCGUUGCGGGACUUAACCCAACAUCUCACGACACGAGCUGAGGACAGCCAUGCACCACCUGUGUAGGACCCCGAAGGACACCGUUUCUCUACGGCUUUUCCCUACAUGUCAAACCCAGGUAAGGUUCUUCGCGUUGCCUCGAAUUAAGCAACAUGCUCCGCCGCUUGUGCGAGCCCCCGUCAAUUCCUUUGAGUUUUAGCCUUGCGGCCGUACUCCCCAGGCGGCAGACUUCCCGCGUUAGCUCCGGCACGGAGGGGGUCAAGUCCCCCCACGCCUAGUCUGCAUCGUUUACUGCGUGGACUAC